CGGCGUUUCCAGGGGAGCCCCGGCCAAGGGGCUGAGAGUCUGCUGAUCCCGCGCCUUCACCGAGGGGCGGGAGUCGCGGAGACCCUUCGAACCUGAUCCGGUUUGGACCGGCGUAGGGAGGAAGGCCGACGCGCGC
rnacentral:ncRNA from 2 species